CCCAGUCCUGCCCCCCCCGCUCAGCCCCGCCCCAGCCUGGGCGGCCAGCUGUCCAGAGCCCUGAGCCCACAGCGGGCGUCCCCAGGCUGCAGAGGGGAGGAAACAGCACAAGACUUCUUCUGCAGCAGAAAUCUGGGCUCCCGGGUUAACGCGCCCUGCGGAGCCCCAGGCAAACUGCACAAAAGCAGCCGGAGGUGCGGUUCGGGGUGACUCUUCCUUGUCGAGCGGAAAUCGGGCAGCGUCUGGGAGGGUCCGUCGUCCCGGCCCUGGUGGGAGGCAGCGGCGGGGAGGCUUGCCGCUCGGCCCGUGGAAAGGCACAGCCUCCCCACCGCAGUGCCCCUCAGAGCAGCCAAACCCCUGCAUUCCGCCCCCGACACGCGGACACCUGCGGCAGGGCCUCCCGGUGUCAUCUGCCCGAUGUCCUGGCCGGGGCCUCGCGGGGCCACCUGCAAGUCAGGCAAGCGGGAGGCUCCAGCCAGGUGAGACUGUACCCGGAGAAUGGAUGAGGACGGCCCGCAUCAAGAAGGGCCCUCAGCUGUGCCCACAGCCAAGGCAGCACCUUACCUUACCCCUGAUAGGAUGUGGCAAAGGGGCAGAGGCCAGGCCCACGGUGACGGUGCAGACGACUCCCGGCACACUGAAAGACACCCUCCUGCUGGCCUUAUGGAAGCAAACUGCCCAGUUGUGAACCGUCUGUGAAGGGACACGAGGAUCCGUGUCCCACCACCCGAGAAUGACUUCUGCCCACAGGCUGGGGGACCGCGGAAGCAGACUGCUCUCCAAAGGAGCCUCUCGUGAGACCACAGCCCCAGCCUACACCUGGAGGGCAUCCCGCGUGGGAGCAUCCUGGGGGGGAGGCCUCCCUUCUGGGGAGGACAGCUCCCAGGGGUUAUGCUCCUGGGGUCAGCCCUGUGGACGGACAUCCUCCUGUGGGCAUCCUCCAGGGGGUGGGUUGACUUCCUCCAGGAGAACAUCCUCUGGGAAGAGGGAUAUUCUGGAGGAGGGGGUUUCCAGCAGGUAGGCGUCUUCCUCUGGGGGGAGGUUGUCCUCAGGGGCAUUCUGGGGUGAUUCUCUGGGACGAGCAUCCCCCAGGGACAUACCUGUAGAGCCGGUAUACUCCAGAGGGCAUCCUGGGGGAGGUGUCUUCUCCCAAAGGGAAGGGAUAUCGUGUAGGGGGGGUCCUGGGGGGACACCCUGGGGGCAAUCCCAGCGAGGAAGGGGGCGGGCGCCCUCCGGAGUGACGUUCUCCGGGAGGGGCUGUGCUCGGAGCGUGGGGGGCCUUCUCGGGGCGGACGGCGCCGGCGGCCCCGCCCCCGGCCCCGCCCCGAUCCCGCCCCGGCCCCGCCCCCGGCCCUCCCCCACGCUUCCUCCUUCGCUCACUUUCGCUUCCGCCGGAGCGCGGGUCCCGCCGCCGCCCGAGCAUGGACGACCCGGACUGCGACUCGACCUGGGAGGAGGACGAGGACGAGGACGGCGAGGGCGCGAGCGCUGGGGGCGACGAGGACGGCGAGGCCGGCGCCCCAGGGGACGCGGACGCGGAGGACGAGGACGAGGACGAAGAGGACGCGCCGGCGGCGCGGCCCGGCGCGCUCCAGGUGCAGCCUCGACGCGCGCCGGGGACCCAGCGCCCAGCCCCG
ensembl:lncRNA